CAUCCCCUUUUGAAUCAAAGUGAAAUCAGACUCCGUAACAAAGAAACGAGUUACUAGAGAAAACAAAGAUAACGGAGAAGGUACUCACGCUUCAUACUCUCGUUCUGAAAUCAGCUAAAUGUGCAUCAGAUCUGUGUGCUGCACCAAGUUGCUCUUGAUAAAAUUCCAGUAGUUUUAUUCUUGGUAUUGAUGUUGGUCUGAUUGGAGCUGUUCAAGGUGCAAUCUCAGUCGUCGAAGAUAUUACUACUGCUAAUUGUAAAUCUACUAGAAAAACAUAUGGAUAUCUAUUGAACGAGAGUAAAACUGCCAGAUGCUUGUGUACAUGGAAAUUGUUUAGGCUUGACAAUGUCCAUGUAUACCAUCAUCUGGUAGUUCUUAUCAUCGACCAACUCGCCGAUCGGAUCACCCAGAGGAACUCUUGUGACCAAGAUCUUUCAGACACGAGAAAGCAGUGCCGUCAUCAACUGUGUACGGCAUGUAAGAGUUCUAUCCUGCACUGCAGUUAUUUAAAGAUGUCAAAACAAAGACCUAUCUGCCUGUCGUGGCACUGGAAUCUACAUGGAUGGUUGGUAAAUGUUUGUAAAGCAUCGCUAAAGAUUCGUCCCUUUCGUUUUGAGAUGAAGUAUAUAUUUGAUGUUGAACAUACUUAAGGUAUUCUGGUUGUGACCUUAUGCAUAUGCUGGCGAUGAACUAUGGGGAUAAGAACAAAGGCAAAGAGAAUAAAAUGGAUAUUUGAGGCUGAUAUGCUUUCUUCAGUAGAGGAGGAUCCUGAGCUCUGAAGGAAAGCUGUUUGUGCUCUCUAUUAACAGUAAACAUCUGAAUAAUAAAUAUAGACAAUGGGUUCCAUUACAGCGACGUGCUCAGGUAUGUCAAAAAUUCUCUACACUUUUCCUUCAUUUCCAAUUCCGGAUGAAAUUACUAUUUUUGCAGUUACUGUUGGCUUUUCAAUGUUGCAAAAAUCUGAAAGCUCAUUGGUUUACAUUUGUAUACUGUCUGUGUUCAAUUGCUUAAGCUAUUUCAUGGACUCUUUCCAUACUCUGCUAUUGAAUCCUUAGGUCGUUUUCUUAUUAUCUUAAUUAGCCAUAUCAUAUGGAUGAUCCAAUUACUCUAAUGUUUGGCUUUACCUUAGAAAACUAUCCUCUCAUUGGCAGUAGAUAGAGCAUUAUUACCUGCAUAUCACAAUGUCUGAAGACUUACCUUUAUAGUUUAUAUACUUCGGAAUCAAAAUGCGUGUCUAGAGGAAUUCUCAUAUCCCAGUUAAAAUACAGCACAUCCUAUCUGAAACCUUGUGGUUGUAAUUUCUCAAUAUAGUUGGUGGAGAUAUAAGAUGAUCCUGCAAAUAGCCUUAAUUGGCGUCGGCACUACCUGACUCAUCAUUACGAAAUUUCAAUCUCUGUACUGACUGCGGAAUUUGUAUAUCCUUUAUUGGCGGAGUUGGGCGACACAAGAAAAAUCAGUUGUCGGUAUAAGCAGAUUAAGGAUUUGCUGGCUUCCCCAGAUUUCGCAUCUGUAAUUGUUAGUUGACCGGUGGGAACAACAGAGCUCGUAGCUGCAUCUGCACAGGGCAGGAAAUCCAGCCAGCAAAAGGUGACCUAAAGAAGUUUAUGAAACAUUUGGAGAUGAAUAUGUAGCCAGCCUCUUGCAGUCUUCAACAGCUUCAAAGAUGAAUAUCUCCAACUCUUUCACAGACUUCUUUAUGUCACCUUUGCAGGCUAGAAGCUACCCAAAGCAGUUACUCAGUAUCUACCGAAACAGAAAAGAUGAUUGUUUCUUUCUUGCUAGAAGUGCCAGGCAUGGAGAUCAAACUGCCAAGUGAUAGAUUGUUGCGUAACUUUGUAAGUGGCCUUCACUCUUUUCACUAGGCAUUGCAAUCUUGCAUAUUGUUUUAGCCUCCUCAAAUGUUUGUACAUAUAUAAAAUCAAAAACUGGUUAAUAUACCAAAUGGUGCGUUGGAUGUGUAUGAUAUUCAAAUUCAGAUUGUUUUGGUAGGUUUACAUGGAUGAAAAACAACCCUUGUUGAGCUCAUGGAACCGAUACUGAAAUGCGUAAAUCUAAUUACUGAAAUAAAACUAGAUUACCCUUUCUUU